GGGGCAAGUUUCUCUUGGUUUUAAGGUUGUGAAACAGUGGCUCGCCGAAGUACUAAGUCCCCCACUCUGAAGGCUUUGCUCUUGACCCGGGAGUUGUAGUAGCGGGAUGCUUUCUGCUUGUAGGCUGCCAUCCAAACUUGAGCUGUCUCCCACUUUUCUUCUAGCAAGUCGAGGUUGGCCUUGAGAUCCUGUGAGUUGUGUUGCUCGUCGAAUGCCACGACUCGCACC
rnacentral:lncRNA from 1 species